UACAGAGGCCACAAGCGUUAGUCGGAAUCACUGGGCUUAAAGGGUGCGUAGGCGGGUCCGCAAGCGUUCUGUGAAAUCCCACGGCUCAACCGUGGAACAGCAGGGCGAACUGCGGGUCUUGAGGCAAGUAGGGGUCGCGAGAACUGUAGGUGGACCGGUGAAAUGGGUAGAUAUCUACAGGAAUGCCGAUGGUGAAGACGCGCGACUGGGCUUGUCCUGACGCUGAGGCACGAAAGCGUGGGGAGCAAACAGG
rnacentral:rRNA from 1 species